rnacentral:rRNA from 1 species
UGGGGGAUAUUGCACAAUGGGCGAAAGCCUGAUGCAGCGACGCCGCGUGGGGGAUGAAGGCCUUCGGGUUGUAAACUUCUUUUGCUCUGAACAAGGCAUGCUAAUGGGUGUGUUGAGAGUAGGGGUUGAUUAGCGCCGGCUAACUACGUGCCAGCAGCCGCGGUAUUACGUAGGGCGCGAGCGUUGUCCGGGAUUAUAUGGCGUAAAGGGCUUGUAGGUGGCUGGUUGCGUCUGUCGUGAAAGAUGAUGGCUUAACUGUGGGUUUGCGGUAAGUAAGGGCGGGCUUGAGUGCAGUAGUGGAGGCUGGAAUUCCUGGUGUAGCGGUGGAAUGCGGAGAUAUCAUGAGGAAUACCGGUGGCGAAGACGGGUCUCUGGGCUGUUACUGACACUGAGGAGCGAAAGCAUGGGGAGCGAACAAG